UUGGACUUUAUUUAUGUAAUCAUGAAAAAUCUGGAGAUAUUUUGUUGUUGCAUGACGUACAUUAUUUUUAAAUACAUUUAAAACCAUUGUAAUCCAUUACAAUGAAUGUUCUCAGAAGAAUGAGUUUUUAAACUCAUAAGACAUUACUAUUCUGUUGAUUCACAGGUCACAUAUUUAUGGAAACGGCAUGAAACAGAAGUUGUCUCUUUGGUCCUGUCUCAAAUUAGAGGUAACGACUUCAUCAUACGUCACAGUGAGCUCCUGUCCCUUAGACCACACAGCUGGCUUGUAGGAGAGGUAUGUACUCCUAGUACAAAAAAAACCAAAAUUAUUGCAUAAUGUUAAAGCUGGGGCAGAUAACAUUUUUUUGUCCUUACAUAUUCAGUAUGCACUGCUUUAGAUCUACAUUCUUGGCAUAUCCUCAUGACUGAAUAUUAAGUAAUAGUAAUAGUCUUAACCGUUUUAUUCCAAAAACUUAUCAUGUUUAUAAAGUAAUAAAAGGUUAUUUAUUAUGCUCCUAAGGUCACUGAAAGUCUCUUGCACCACUGGGCCAUUCGGCUAAAUCUGCUAAUACUAUUUACAAUAUGAACCACUACAUGAGUGCUGUGAUCUUCUAUGGAGAGAUCGAAAUCAUCAGGAGACAAAGUUUGUCCACGGUGAACUCUGACAACUACAAAACCAUUGUGUCAUUUGUAAACAUUGGAAAUAUACACUGGAAGUUUCUGUACAUAAAUUCAGAUGAGAGCCGUCUGUAUUUGUUCGAUCCUUCAAGAAAGUCUUUGGCACAGGAAGAGUCUGACCGGGUAGCCCAAAGAUUCUGGUAA
rnacentral:lncRNA from 1 species